GGCGAACCGCGGAGAGGCUCGUCGCUGGGCGAGUGAGGAAUCUUGAUCCUGGUGGGCCACCAUCCCGGAAGUGGAAUGUAGAGGAAGCAAGUGCUAGGGUUGCUGGGGAGGCAUAAGUUCUCGAGAUUCCAGGUGUGGAUUCGCAGAACUCUUUUGUGGCCUGUGUUGGCCAGGACGGACUCAGAGGCUUUCGUCACUUCUUCUGAAGGCGCUAGCUUCCCUGCUGAGCCGCACCUGUUCAUGGUGGGGCAGAAGGCAGCUCGGAUGAAUGAACCUCGGGCUUCUGUUAAGAACCCAUCUGAGAAAGGCGGUCUGCGCUCUUCCUCCGUGGCGGCCUGCGGGGUGCACUGAUGCACUAGCGGCUUAGCAUGGCUCAGCGAGCAGUGUGGCUCAUCAGCCACGAACCCGGAACUCCACUUGGUGGCACGGUCAGAUUCUCCAGACGGUAUCCAACUGUUGAAAAACGAGCCAAAGUCUUCAAUGGAACAAGCUAUGUGCCUAUCCCUGAAGAUGGUCCCUUUCUUAAAUCAUUACUCUUCGAACUUAGAUUAUUGGAUGAAGAUAGAGACUUCAUGGAGAGUCGUGAUAGCUGUUCUCGCAUCAAUAAAACAUCUGUGUAUGGACUUAAAGUAGGAGGUGAAGAACUCUGGCCAGUUGUUGCUUUUCUGAAGAAUGGCAUAGUAUAUGCUUGUGUUCCACUAGUUGAACAAACUUUAUCCCCUCGUCCAGCGCUAAUUAGCAUUAGUGCAAUUUCACAAGGCUUUGAACUUCUUUUUGGGAUACAGGAUUUUCUUUACUCAAGUCAAAAAAUUGAUACUGAGCUAAAUACAAAACUGAGCCAAUUGCCUGACUUGCUUCUACAGGCUUGCCCAUUUGGAACUUUACUAGAUGCCAACUUACAGAAUUCAUUGGAUAGUAUCAGUUUUGCUUCUGUGACUCAUCCACAAAAGCAGCCAGCCUGGAAAGCUGGAGCAUACAAAGGAAAACCACAAGUUUCAAUUUCUAUCACUGAAAAAGUAAAAUCUAUGCAAUAUGAUAAACAGGAUAUAGCAGAUACAUGGCAAGUAGUCGGAACUGUCACUUGCAAGUGUGAUUUAGAAGGAAUCAUGCCAAAUGUUACCAUCAGCUUGAGUCUCCCCACCAAUGGAUCUCCACUUCAGGAUAUUCUAGUUCAUCCUUGUGUGACUUCUCUUGACUCUGCCAUUCUGACUUCUAGUAGCAUUGAUGCAAUGGAUGAUUCUGCAUUUAGUGGACCUUACAAAUUUCCAUUCACUCCACCUUUAGAAUCAUUCAACUUGUGCUACUACACUUCCCAGGUUCCUGUCCCACCAAUUUUAGGCUUUUAUCAAAUGAAAGAGGAAGAAGUACAACUAAAAAUAACAGUUAAUUUAAAACUUCAUGAAAGUGUGAAAAAUAAUUUUGAAUUCUGUGAAGCUCAUAUACCAUUUUACAAUAGAGGUCCAAUCACACAUGUGGAAUACAAAGUUAGUUUUGGCCAGCUCGAAGUAUUUCGAGAGAAAAGCUUAUUGAUCUGGAUUAUUGGACAGAAGUUCCCAAAAUCAAUGGAAAUUAGUCUUUCUGGAACUGUAACUUUUGGAGCCAAGAGCCAUGAGAAGCAGCCAUUUGACCACAUUUGCAUUGGGGGUACAGCAUAUUUAAAGCUUCAUUUUAGGAUCUUAGAUUACACACUUACUGGGUGUUACGCGGACCAGCAUUCAGUUCAAGUUUUUGCAUCAGGAAAACCAAAAAUAAGCACACACCGGAAACUAAUUUCUUCUGACUAUUACAUCUGGAAUUCUAAAGCUCCUGCUCCAGUAACAUAUGGAUCAUUAUUACUAGCAUAAACCAGUGGUGAUUCUAGUCCUGAGUUACCCUGCCACAUGUUCCCUCCUGUGCCUACGGCAGACAUGGCUAAUCGAUUGCAGCCCUUUUAUUCCACUGAGCUUCCUGGAUACAGGCUCAGGUUCCUCUUCAGUUCAGACCUGCAGGCAGCCACUCUUGAUGGAUUGCUGUUCCGAACCUGAGUACCAAGCUUCUAGUACAUUGUGUUGUUACAGAAUGCCAGAGACCACAUUAGAAACAACUGUAAAUCUCUUGAGAGGGAAAAAAAACAAACAGCCAAUGAAAACAAAGCAAAAUUCUUUAAAUAGUAAACUGUUCUUAAUCAGAACUACCCAAUUGACUUAUAAAGAAUCUGCAUAAUUCUAGUUAAGGUGUUUAUCUCUGUUCUGGAGUUACUUUUCAGCUGGACACAUUGUGAUGCUUUUGAUUUUGUCUAGAAACCUGUCACUUCGGGAUAAUUUCUGAAGACAAAGUCUGCUUCCCGUUUGGCUGGACCUUUCUUUUCUUCAGACUCCGCUGCCACAAUUAAAGAAGAAACAGCUGCAUUUCAAAGGGAUUCCGAUCCAGAAGCUUAAUCGUGAUUGACAUGUUCUUAUUCUAAGCUAUAAGACACUCUUAAGAGUCCUUUCUUGGGUUAAAACUUCAAUCAUUUUCUAAAAAAUUAUCUCACUAUGGAUUUUAUUCAUUUUCUUUGAUAACUAUUCUUUGCAUUUUUUAACUUGAAAGAUGCUUUGCGUUUGCAGUGAAUAUGAGCACCUAUUUCCAAAGAUUUGGAUGGUAUCAGACCUACUGUAGAUGCAAAAUUGCUAAAUUCCUUUUUAGUGCAAAAUAUGAUUAUGAAAUCUGUUAUCUGUCAUAUAGGUAAUUAUUCUUCAGUAGAUCCAAAUGGUACAAAAAGUGUUAAAUUUCUGAAAAUGUGCUCCAGAAAAAAUGGUUCAUGAUUUUGGUGAAAUCUUUCUUUUCUAAACAAUAUUUUUUAAACUUUUUUAAGCCCUUACAGAGGUGGGCAUUUUUUAACUUUCUUAAAAUAAUUGAUUUAAAUAUCAAGUUUGAAGUAAAUAGCCCUGUCAAAAAUUCUUAAGAGAAUUAUUUGUUUAAAAAUGUUUUCUUGAUUAAACAUUAGUCUGUCUUAUAAAAUUCUGUUUUACACCAACUAAGUAUUUGAGCUGAAAUUGUGAUUUUAUGUAUUGUAUAAUUUAAGGUCUCUCGAAACACAAUUUUGUACAUAAUAACAACAGCUAAUAUUCUCCUUUUUUUUAUUAUAGUAUUUCAAACCACUUCAUAGCCAUUCAUAGACUCCUACACCACCCCUGGGAGGGAGGGAGGUCGAGUUUGCAUCCAGAGCCUCUGCAGGGACUGCUGCCACAGCAGAACGGUUGUUUCUAAGACAAAGGUCAGGAAAGGGAUGUUAAUAAACAGUCCUCAGGUUUAAGGGACUUUUUUAGGAUUACAUCUUAAAUUCCAACAAAUCAGAUUUAGGAGUUACUGAAAGUGAAAUUGAUCCAUCCCUCAUCCAAACUUUGCAAUACUUUCCUGUUCUGACAUCAUUUAGAUAGUUGGCUGUAUUAUCAGAUUAGAAACCAUUGUACCAUGCUGCUGAAAGGAAAAGGAGGCAAAAAGCUAAACAUAGGAUAAAUUCUGAACCUUUUAACCUGGCUGAAGUACGUUGGUCCCUGUUAUGCAAAUACCUUCAAUCCUCUGCUAAGUUCAGUGGAAAUAAUUUUCUUGAAUGACAGGUUUAUUCAGCAAGGAUUCAGUUGGUGAUUAAUCCCCCUUUGAUCUAGGGUAUUUCACUUAACUACCAGUUACCUCGUUCUGACAAAGUGCAACUGAGAUUAGGGAGAUCACUAGAACACUACCAGGGUGUGCGUUUAUUCUCUCUAACCUUUUAAAGCAAGGGCCAAGAAUGCAAUUUAUUUUCAGUAUUUGAAGAUGUAAAGUCCUGUCUGCUAAGUUAGAAAGUCAAUUGAAUACCAAAUGAAGUUUAUUUCUUACGUAACAGAACAAACAUUUCUUUUUUGCUUUGUCUAACAAUGAUUUUUAGGAAACAUAGUCUUUGAAAAAAGAAGAAAGACUACAUUCUAAGUAUAUCUUCUAGUUUUGUUUCAUGUACUAGAGAAUAUACUCAUUGACCCUGAGAUAGCCCAAAAAUCAAAGCAGUCACUACAAUUUAGGUUGAAAAACAUGCUUCAGUUUUAUUAAAUUGCAUGGUUUCUUCCCACCCUCAUCCCAUUUAAAAAGGUCAUGCUAUGUGGUAAAUCCAAUUGCGGAAACAUGUAAUACACAAGUAUUCAUCUUAAGACUUCUGAUUUCAAGGCUUUAUUUGUUAACUUGAUUUAAAUAUUUUUGUCCUUUCUUGAGGAAAACAACUUAUGUUCCCAUAAUAAGAAUAAUUGCGUUCACUUUCAGAAUGAAGGUUUUUGUUCAUAAAGAAGGUAAAUGAUGCUAUUACAAGAAUACUUCUAAGUAAUUAUUUUAAAUUAUCAAGCUAACCAUUUCCACAGCAUUGUUUACUAUUUUUCUGCCUUCCUUUCCAUUUAGCUGUGUACCUCUUCUUCCAUAACUUUAAGACUUUGAAAUAUUCUUUGGAAUCUUGCACAAUAUUUUAAGAAUAACAUUUUAAGAUACGUUUUGUGCUACGGUUUCUCAAAAAAUUCAUCUUUAAAGACUUACCAUUGUCAAAAUUUAUCUUGCAAGAUAUCAAAUGUGCGGAUCUAUUCCACAUUUAGUUUAAGACCCUUAAAAAAGAAAAUAAUUUUUAACAAAAAUUUGUUUUUAAAUACUGUUAUUAUUAGUGAUUAAUGUUAUUAUAGACAGAGCAUUUUAAAUGCUUUAUAAUUGUUCAUUAUUCUAGUAGCAGUUUGCAAUACAAGUUAUGUAUUUACAUAAUUAUACAUUAUUUUGUUCCAAAGUCUCUGUGACCCAAUUUCUAAAUUGAAACAAUGACUCAAAGAAGCACCUCUAACUUCCCUGGGUAUCAGCCUCUCCUGUUUCAAUUUAGUAACCAAACUUUCCAAAUAUCUUUUGAUAGCCGGUUACUUAAUCACAGAAAUUGAGGAUCAGAAAAAAUAUAAGAUGAAAGGCAUGUUGCUAAGAAAACUAGUAUUUUUAAUAAUUCACUAUGCAGUAAAUAUUUUUAAUGAAAUGUUGCAAUAUAUUUUGAAAUAUGUAUCAGAAUCUGUAUAAAUCAUAUGUACAUGUAUGUAUAUGUAAUGUAUAUAUAAUACAUAUGUUAAGUGUCAUGUCAGAGGAAAUAAUUCAAAUAUCUUUCCUCCAAACACAGUGUUAGUUAAUAGUAAUGAAGAGAUUCAUUAACAUAAAAAUUUCCAAAGAAUUCAUGAGAUCACUGUUACAAAUGAUUAAAACUUUUUGAGCUUCAGCUAGCUUCUAAUUUUUUUCAUCAACUGUUUUAGAGGUAUGAUAAUAUUGUCCACAUAUAGCCUGCAGCAGUGCAAGGCCAUAUCUCUAUGACUAGUUUAUUGUCUUGUAAGCAGGCUGCUCUGAGGUCCAGGUUGAUUUCUCUAAGACCCUGGCUAAUCUGCACAAUUGUUGGCAGUGUAGUGCUAAUAUAUGAUGCACAGCAUUUAGCAUUUACAGAUUGACAGGUGCCCUGGGAUGGAAACCACCUGAUGAAUUGUUUCUCCAAUAGGAUAUGUGAAAAUUUGUAUAUUUUAAUAAUCCGUCAACAUGUAAAGUCAAAGUGUAUGUUUCCUUUAAAUGUCUUUUUAAAUGAUAGUUUUGUAAAAGAAUAUUGUUAUCCCUCUUAAAAUGUUCACUUUUUCUCUCAAGGGACUUGAGUGCCCUCUGCAGGUUAUAAAGAGAUAAUUAAUGGCAAUAUUUAUUUUUAAACCCUGUGAUUUUUCCCUUUUAGAAGCACAGCCUGCAUAAAUGUGAUCCAUUUUAUUUAUAUUGUUAACUUUGUUGAUUUUCCGGUGAUUGAAGGAAGAGUUUCUUUUCCUGGCCUGUUUUAUUUAGUGUGAAGUAAUAUCAUUGAAUUUUACAAAUCACUUAGCUAGGGCUCUUUGAAUAUUGGAACUAUACAUAUUGGAACUAAUACAAAGUCCCUCACAGAAAGGAGAUUGGGAAAAUUUAGCUAUUUUGAAAUUUAUUGAAGAUGUAGAGAAUAACUUGAUUUAAUUCCCAUUACAUAAUUAGACUAUUAAUACAUUUGAAAUAAACUUUACUUUUUCAAUAUGCAUUGUGUAAAAUUUUUAAAUUAUAUAAGUUCUAUUUCUUAAUCUUGUUGAUGAGUGAUGAUUGUGUUCAAACUGAAAAAAGCUUUACAUCUGAUUCACUUAAAGCUUCCAGGGGAACUAAAUAUGAUGAGAACAAGAAGAAUGAUUGGAUCACAUUAAUAGAAAUAGAUCUUUUUGCAAGAACAUAGUGAUCCUGAUCAUCAACCUUGAAAAGUAAAUUAGAACAAGCAAAUUGCUAUUGAAAAAUUCUUUCAGCACUCUGCUGUUGCUACUCAGCUAGUCAUGGCUCAGCCAGAGGCAAAGAAAAGUGCAGUUUGGUGUUAACAAAGGAAACAUUAUUAAAGUGAAUGUUUACAUUGUGUUUAUUGAAGUGUUGAAAGAAUAUUUGUUGCAACUUCAAUCUACUGUUCUCCCUGCUAUAAUAAUGCGUGAGUGAUGAUAAAAAUAAUUUGUACAUUUUAAAAGAAUAAGUAACAUUUAACUUAAGUGUUUGUCGAUUGUCUUCAAAAUGCAUAAAUAUCAAACUUAAUACUUUUUUAUUUAAAGAUUUCUGUCUCCAGCAAAUGUAUCUCAUUAAAAAAAUGAACUCAUUAAAUAUACCUUCUGUUUAUCUCCACACCUGCUCUUAGCCAAAAGGUUGAGAAGCAAUCCAAGGAUUUCCAAAUGCUUUAUGUAACUUUUCCCCUAGAAACUACAGUGCAUAAGAAAUAAUAAACUGAAAAUUAAGCAAAUAUGAAAA